UCUGCUGUUAGCUGGGCCUCGAAUCUUUCCUGUGUGAUCAAUUCAUCCACGCGAUCUCUCUGCAUCCCCGCUCCCCUUCUUCCUUCCACUCGGGCCCUAGGCCUAAUCGCCGUACUGACGAUGACGACGAGUGAUGCUUUGGGUUGCUGCCACCACCCCUACUGCUCCCGGUCCCUCUGGUUGUGUUCAUCAAGGUUCCAGUCAACUGAUUCAGGCAAAUGUUGGGCGUUGGUACUCAUCGAGCCGCCGAUCUUCAAUCCGAUCCAUUCAAGUCAAGCUUGACUGAUCGAUGCACGGCGAACCAAGGCGGGCCUGACUGAUUGAUGCAGGGCGAAGCAAGGCCGGGCUCAAUUUUUGUUGGUUCUAUCGAUGGCGGUAACGGCCUCGCUCGACUCUUCCUUGGCGUUGACACUUGACAUGCGGUAGAUUUUCACGUCCCUAUGCGCCUUCCUCUAAUCACUAGAUAACAAUACAAAGGUUUAACAUGGAUUGAUUGGUCGAGGAGAGUAUGUCAACAAGAUAUGAUGCUAGAAACAUGGAAUUCCCCAGGGAGUCAGCUCGAUGUACUACAGUAACCUCGGCUGAUCUUAUCUUCGCAACCUCUGAAUGGCUUUACGAUUUGCAAAUAAGGAUCCCUGAUUAUAUUGCUAUGUUUUGAUACACGGUUGUACCUUCCGAAACCUGUGCUGGAUGCUUCGGGUGUUGUCUUCCUCAAUGAGAAAUCGUUCCAUGCACCCGGCAACAGUGAGAACAGACUUCAGAACUUAUGUUAGAACAGUCUUAACUGGAACAGAAUUAACUAAACUCUUGGUCCGAUAUGUAAUUUGUGAUAAAAUCUUACCUUCUUUUUGUUUUCUAACAAAUGUCUUGGCUCUGUUUUGUUUGGAGCCACCCGGUAGUUCUAUGCUGCUGCACAAAUACAUUGUGCUUUUCAGGACUAGAUUUUUUUCAUCGUAUCAAUUCUUCUGGAUGAUGUUCUAUUUGCUCAUUUUUUAAACUCAUGGAAUGAAAACAUUUUAUUCUCAAAUCUAAUUUUAAAACUGGAUAUGUUUUUUCAUUACCAGCAAAUAUUCUGCUCUCUCAUGUCCAACCAUAACAUAUAUCUUUAGUAAGUAUUUAACUUUCACCUUGCAUACCUUCAUGCAUUUUAUAAAUUCGUACUGUUCCAUAUACUCAUAUAAAUUCCUAUAUUAAGGUGCUCUUUAAUGCGAUCGAUUAUCUAACUUUUCUCCUGCUUUGUUUACAAGUAUGCAGGGCUCAUAUCUCAAGUAUGGUCGAAGCAUUGCUGUUAGGAUUAUCUAACUUUUCUCCUACUCUGUUUACAAGUAUGCAGGGCUCAUAUCUCAAGUAUGGUCGAAGCAUUGCUGUUAGGAUUAUCUAACUUUUCUCCUGCUCUGUUUACAAGUAUGCAGGGCUCAUAUCUCAAGUAUGGUCGAAGCAUUGCUGUUAGGCAAGGUGGUUGCAGAUACACGUAGUUUCAGUUUGGCUUGUGAUAUUGAUAUUUUAUAAAAAAUAAUUCCAUACUUGAUGUAGAAAGAUCAUUCGGAAAUGAGCAUGUUCCAUGUAAUCUGGGUGGCACUCACCCAUAUAUUCUAUGUACAGAACACUCUUUGCACAACACUGGAACAUUGGUAACAUAUUUUGACUCCGGUAUUUCCUCUCUGGUCUGAUGUACGUCAUCUCAGUCUAUGGAAAAUAAAAAUUUACCCAAAUUAUUGUAAAACCGAUUAUUUAAAAUUUCCAUUUGACUUCCAUCUUUACCCAUUGGCUUAUUUUAGUGAUGUUGAAUAUGGUUACUGCUUCCAUUUUUUCUCCCAUGAACAGAUGAAGCUUCGAUAGUUUGUGAACCUGCAUGCUGCUAUGGUGUUCCACCAAAUUGGAAAUAUGUUCCUACAUUUCCAUGGAAGUGUUUCGUGUAUUUCGCAUGCUUUGAUUUACAAUUAGCUUGCGAAUUACAUCAAUCAGGGUGUGUUACUAAAUAUUUGGUUCAGUUUUCAAUAUAUCACUAUCCAACUCCAAGAAUGACUUCAUUUACUGUUUUUCCUUUCCUUUUUAUUGUUUUAGGAGCACGGCCAUUGAACUAUAUAGAGAGUAUGCAUUUAAUAGGUAUAUCUAAGCUUCUUUAUUCAUUUCAAAAUAAGUACUGGAGUUGCUUUAAUGUGUAUGGGUUCUAGACUUAUAUAUUGACUAGAUGUGUGUAUGGGGGGUAGGUAAAUUUGAUGCAGUUAUGCACUAACCAAGGAAACACCACAGCUCCAACCCUCU